GCCCCGUCCGCGCAGCUCGUCCGGCCCGCCCGCAGGCCAGCUUCUCUCGGGAGCCUCCACCCAGGCGCAUGGCUCCAUGAAGCAAGAGGAGGAGGCAGAGCGCGAGAGAUCCCGUCCGCCCCAGCCGCGUCUGGGCCAGGAGAAAAGCAAAACCAUAUUCCUGCUGCUGUCAGUUUUGAUGCACUGAGAAAACUUCAGAGACCUAAGCUUUUUCCAGAGAAGAGAAGCUUUACUGGUGUUCCAGCCCUAAGGCUCAUAUGACAUUAACAGACAAGACACUUUUCAGAAAGACAGAUGGAGUCUCUCUGUCACCCAGACUGGAAUGCAGUGGCAUGAUCUUGGUUCACUGAAACCUCUGCCUUUCUGGUUCAAGCAAUUCUCAUGUUUCAGCCUCCCAGGCAACGUGUUGGACCUUCCGGAGCUUCUCAGAAGACAGAGGGUUUUCUUUUGAGCAGUUUAAGUAUAGUGUGCCUGGGCCGGGUGCGGUGGCUCACGCCUAUAAUCCCAGCACUUUGGGAGGCCAAGGCCAGUGGAUCACCUGAGGUCAGGAAUUCGGGACCAACCUGGCCAACAUGUGAAACCCCAUCUCCACUAAAAAAUCCAAAAAUUAGCCAGGCAUGGUGGUGCGUGCCUGUAAUCCCAGCUAUUCAGGAGACUGAGGCAGGAGAAUCGCUGGACCUUGGGGAGGCGGAGGUUGCAGUGAGCUGAGAUCGCACACUACCGUACUCCAGCCUGGGUGACAAAGAAAAACUCCGUCUCAAAAAAUAAUAAUAAUAAAAAAGUAUAGUGUGCCUGGA
ensembl:lncRNA NUTM2A-AS1 NUTM2A antisense RNA 1